rnacentral:rRNA from 1 species
UUGAAAGGGAAACGAUUGAAGUCAGUCAUGCUAGUAGGGAAUCAACUUGAUGGACCGAGGGUCCAAGACCCUUGAUCUUUCUUGUGCACUUUCUUGCUUGGCAGGUUAGCAUCAAUUUCGGAUAUCAUUAAAAAAUCGAGGGAAUGUAGCUUUCUUUCGGGAAAGUGUUAUAGACCUUGAUAAAAUGUGGUGACCGAGAUUGAGGAUUGCAGCGGAUACCUUUUAGGCUAGUCACCUGGCUUCUGACGGUUACCUCGCUUUCGAGAGCUUGCUAACGAUUGUGGGAUUCGACAGUCUAGAUGUUAGAGUGAGCAUAAAUUCGCUAAGGAUGCUGACGUAAUGGCUUUAAACGACCCGUCUUGAAACACGGACCA